UAGGCUCGGCUUAACAACAAUAAACUAAAAGUUUGACCUCAAAUCAGGUAGGACUACCCGCUGAACUUAAGCAUAUCAAUAAGCGGAGGAAAAGAAACCAACAGGGAUUGCCUCAGUAACGGCGAGUGAAGCGGCAAAAGCUCAAAUUUGAAAUCUAGCACCUUCGGUGUUCGAGUUGUAAUUUGAAGAUGGUAACCUUGGGUUUGGCUCUUGUCUAUGUUCCUUGGAACAGGACGUCAUAGAGGGUGAGAAUCCCGUCUGAUGAGAUGCCCAUUCCUAUGUAAGGUGCUAUCGAAGAGUCGAGUUGUUUGGGAAUGCAGCUCUAAGUGGGUGGUAAAUUCCAUCUAAAGCUAAAUAUUGGCGAGAGACCGAUAGCGAACAAGUACAGUGAUGGAAAGAUGAAAAGAACUUUGAAAAGAGAGUGAAAAAGUACGUGAAAUUGUUGAAAGGGAAGGGCAUUAGAUCAGACUUGGUGUUUUACGAUUAUCUUCUCUUCUUGAGUUGUGCACUCGUAUUUCACUGGGCCAGCAUCGAUUCGGAUGGCAAGAUAAUGGCAGUUGAAUGUGGCUUCACUUCGGUGGAGUGUUAUAGCUUCUGCUGAUAUUGCCUGUCUGGAUCGAGGGCUGCGUCUUUUGACUAGGAUGCUGGCGUAAUGAUCUAAUGCCGCCCGUCUUGAAACACGGACCAAGGAGUCUAACGUCUAUGCGAG
rnacentral:rRNA from 1 species